rnacentral:rRNA from 1 species
AUUGAACGCUGGCGGCAGGCCUAACACAUGCAAGUCGAACGGUAACAGGGAUCAGCUUGCUGAUUCGCUGACGAGUGGCGGACGGGUGAGUCAUGUCUGGGAAACUGCCUGAUGGAGGGGGAUAACUACUGGAAACGGUAGCUAAUACCGCAUAACGUCGCAAGACCAAAGAGGGGGACCUUCGGGCCUCUUGCCAUCGGCUGUGCCCAGAUGGGAUUAGCUAGUAGGUGGGGUAACGGCUCACCUAGGCGACGAUCCCUAGCUGGUCUGAGAGGAUGACCAGCCACACUGGAACUGAGACACGGUCCAGACUCCUACGGGAGGCAGCAGUGGGGAAUAUUGCACAAUGGGCGCAAGCCUGAUGCAGCCAUGCCGCGUGUAUGAAGAAGGCCUUCGGGUUGUAAAGUACUUUCAGCGGGGAGGAAGGGAGUAAAGUUAAUACCUUUGCUCAUUGACGUUACCCGCAGAAGAAGCACCGGCUAACUCCGUG